GUAGUUGGCCAGACUCUGGUAGCACUUCCGCUCUUUGCCACACAACCUGGUUGGCAUUAAUAAGGGUUGCAGAAGUGGAGAGAAAAUAACUUUAUUUUCAUUCUUUUAUCCUUCAGAUUUUUUUUCCCCAAGGAGAAGAAAAUCAAUGGCAAGGUCUUCCCGAAGUCCAUUUCAUUUCCCAUUUCUGGAAUACUCAACCAAGGAGCUCAGGUUUCCAAACAAAUUAGAAGGGUCCAAGGUCAUGGAGAGGGGGAUGUGGCUGUCGAGGUGUUUCUCUGGCUGGGAUGACGGGCUGCUCUGGCAUGAUCGGAUCCCGGGAUGAUUGGGGCGACUCGGGGUACUCGGGCCAUUGUGGUAUCUGUGGAGUCUGUGGGUACACGGGAUAUUGAGCCCCGCCAGGCCUUUGCACUGAUGGCUGGGAGGACGGCGGCUGAGGAUACGUCGGGUUCCGCUCUUCCCAAGACAAUCCGGUACUCUGAAGAUCAUCGUCCUCCAAUUGUCGGAGAGAGAUCUGCACAUCAGAGCGGGAGUAGGUGUAUCCGUGACCAGCCGGGCAGAUCUCCUUAAAAUGAUCUGUGGGGUUACAAAAGUGUAAAUACUAAUAUUAGUACUUUUUGAAGGAGACCGGAGUUCAAUCCCACCCUCGGCUAUCUCUGUGUGGAGUUUGCAUGUUCUCCCCGUCCGGGUACUCCGGUUUCCUCCCACAUUCCAAAAACAUGCUAGGUUAAUUAGCGACUCCAAAUUGUCCAUAGGUAUGAAUGUGAGUGUGAAUGGUUGUUUGUCUAUAUGUGCCCUGUGAUUGGCUGGCCAUCAGUCCAGGGUGUACCCCGCCUCUCGCCCCGAAGACAGCUAGGAUAGGCUCCAGCACCCCCGCAACCCUUGUGAGGAUAAGCGGUAGAAAAUGAAUGAAUAAAUGAAUGAUUGUUGCAAAAUAACUCAAUGGACCAAAGACAGCUGGGAUAGGCUCCAGCAACCCUGCGACCCUUGUGAGGAUAAGCAGUAGAAAAUGAAUGAACGAAUGUUGCAAAAUAAAUAAAUGGACCAAAGACAGCUGGGAUAGGCUCCAGCACCCCCGCAACCCUUGUGAAAAUGAAUGAAUGUUGCAAAAUAACUAAAUGGACCAAAGACAGUUGGGAUAGGCUCCAGCACCCCCGUGACCCUCGUGAAAAUGAAUGAAUGAAUGAAUGUUGCAAAAUAACUAAAUGGACCGAAGACAGCUGGGAUAGGCUCCAGCACCCCUGUGACCCUCAUGCCAAUGAAUGAAUGAAUGUUGAAAAAUAACUAAAUGGACCGAAGACAGCUGGGAUAGGCUCCAGCACCCCCGCAACCCUUGUGAAAAUGAAUGAAUGAAUUGAUGUUGCAAAAUGACGAAAUGGACCGAAAACAGCUAGGAUAGGCUCCAGCACCCCCGCGACCCUCGUGAAAAUGAAUGAAUGAAUGUUGCAAAAUAACCAAAUGGACCGAAGACAGCUGGGAUAGGCUCCAGCACCCCCGCGAAAAUGAAUGAAUGAAUGUUGCAAAAUAACUAAAUGGACGGGAAACAGCUGGGAUAGGCUCCAGCACCCCCGCAAAAAUGAAUGAAUGAAUGUUGCAAAAUAACUGAAUGGACCAACGACAGCUGGGAUAGGCUCCAGCACCCCCGCGACCCUCGUGAAAAUGAAUGAAUGAACGAAUGAAUGAAUGUUGAAAAAUAACUAAAUGGACCGAAGACACCUGGGAUAGGCUCCAGCACCCCCGCUACCCUCGUGAGGAAAAGCGGUAGAAAAUGAAUGAAUGAAUGAAUGAAUGAAUGAUACAACAGGAUUAUUAUUAUUAUUUUGUGAAAUGUACAGUUUGUAUCUGUUUGAAUUGACGGUUCUCACGGCGUCAAGGCUGUCAAGUUCAUCAAGUUCAGUAAGAAUCUGCAUACCCAAACAGCUCGAGAACUCUCGUUACUAAUUACUAGCCAGACAGACAGAACGAGACCGGGAUACCUCAGAGAUGGUGAAUCCAUUACAGGCCAGAAGAACACCGUCCCCUAUUUGACCUGACAGCGGCAGCUCGAUGCCAGAAGGAUCUGGAAUAACGAUGUGCGUAACGACAGCUAAAUACGAUGGCGGUUAAGGGCAGGAGACGCGCUUGUUACGAGAUACCAAUUGGUGAAAAUGAGGCUAGUUUUAUGAUCCGCGGCCAUAUUACAGGAGCUGGAGUGCAAAUGGAAUAAAAGUCUGUAGUCUUCAGAACACGACUCAGAUGACCAGAGGCUAUGUUUCCAUGUCCGAUUCAGCACCGUGGAGGUCUAUGAUAUCUGAUCUGUGACGAUUAUUACAAUAUAAAUCACCGACCAGUCCAUAAAGUCAUCAUUUUCUCUUUGAAACGUUUGAACAUCAAACUGGUAUGAAAAAUUUUCCCGAUGUUUUUUUUGGCAAAGCGAUUUAUUUCUGAUUGUUAUUGAGGUUUCUUUCAGUGGACAUGAGUGAUAACUCAACAUUUAUUGUUUUUAGGUCUUUUGCCAAUUCAAACACAUUUUCAUCUUAUUUUGAAAUCAUUUGCACACCUGGUAGACGACAAGGUGCUGAUUGACCGACUUGAUUGAAUCGUUUUUUUUCUUUCACAAACACCGGCACACCCCCCCCCCCCCCCCCCCCCCGCGCGCAUGUGACUGCAUGUGCUAUGUCAGGGGUGGGCAAACUACGGCCCGGGGGCCACAUUUGGCCCGCCAAGUGUCUGAAUACGGCCCGCCCAAUCUUUCCAAAGUAUUUAAUUUAAACUCAACAUACAACCUGGCAUCAUGGCCUGAGCCAACCUUUUGAUGGUUGUAUCAAUUUCGUUGUUUGACAUGGUCUGUUGUUUACAAAGUGCUCCUGAAAAAAGAGACACAAGCACAUAAUAAUAAUAAAAAUUAAAAUAAUAAUUAUUAUAUUAUUAUUAUAACUAUUAUUCAUUCAUUCAUUCAUUCAUUUUCUACCGCUUUUC